GAUGAACGCUGGCGGCGUGCCUAAUACAUGCAAGUCGAGCGAACAGACGAGGAGCUUGCUCCUCUGACGUUAGCGGCGGACGGGUGAGUAACACGUGGAUAACCUAUCUAUAAGACUGGGAUAACUUCGGGAACCCGGAGCUAAUACCGGAUAAUAUAUUGAACUGCAUGGUUCAAUAGUGAAAGACGGUUUUGCUGUCACUUAUAGAUGGAUCCGCGCCGCAUUAGCUAGUUGGUAAGGUAACGGCUUACCAAGGCGACGAUGCGUAGCCGACCUGAGAGGGUGAGCGGCCACACUGGAACUGAGACACGGUCCAGGCUCCUACGGGAGGCAGCAGUAGGGAAUCUUCCGCAAAGGGCGAAAGCCUGACGGAGCAGCGCCGCGUGAGUGAUGAAGGUCUUCGGAUCGUAAAACUCUGUUAUUUGGGAAGAACAAAUGUGUAAGUAACUAUGCACGUCUUGACGGUACCUAAACAGAAAGCCACGGCUAACUACGUG
rnacentral:rRNA from 1 species